AAUCAAUGACUUUAGGUAUUCAAAUAAGCCAACAUUAUGUGAAUCUGCAAGUAUUAAACUUGAUAAAACAUUAAAUUACUGGAUCAGUGGCAUUAAUUAUACAACACUGAAUUAGAAUUUCAAAUAUAACGGACAUAUUUACUUUACUAGAUUACUGGCCAAACAAUACAGUCCUAAUUUGAAUAUGAAUUUAAGCUACCUGUUAUAAUAACAUGAAUUAACAAAACUUAAAACUACUAACUACCAGAAUCAGUUGCCUAUUGUAUGAAUCAGUUGACAAUCCAGCUGUCUCAGGCCUAUUAUUACAUGUCCAACAUGAAUUAAUCCUUCUAAAUGAACACAAGAGAACUGUAUACGAACUAAGGCAAUAACAAAAUGGUUGCACUUCAAUUUCUCUUUCAAUUGGAUUUUAUUCAGCUUACAAUUACAUACAGCACUCAACAGUGGAGAUAAGUACCUGAAAUAGCAAUGAAAUGGGAGAGGGCAGAUGGAUCAGCAACAGUAACACACAGUAGGUCACAUCAACCACAUAUUUAAGUUCAAACAGCCCCAAUCAACCCAAUCAAGCCCAGAAAUAUAUCCAGGAAGAGUUCAGAAGUAUUUUAAAACAAACAAGGUCAAUAGAUCAAGCUAACACAGAUUUGAAUACACCCAAAUCCACCUGAGAUUGAACUUUAAAACACCCUAGGACUUCAUUGGAACACACCUUGACCAAAUCCAAACUAAGUAGACCCUAAACUCAACCUAACAAAUCGUUAAACCUCUCUAAAUGCCUUCAGAAUUAAAGCUUAGAACAGGAAUGAAGCAAUCCAAAAAGGAAUUCGAAAAAUAAUUAGAGCCAGCAAUGAAAUAGUGAAACUGUUUGGUUUUUUAUUUUUUGAUGUUUUUGUAUUUUGGAUAUUUGAAUGUCAAACACAGAUUUCAGAAUUAAAGAGAGAGAUGGAGUUUUUCAGUGGGAAUUCUUACGGCUGAAAGGGAAGGCCUCUCCCACGGCAAUUUUGAUGCAUUAUAUAGGCCCCAAUCAGAUUUUCCUUUUCAUUUUAGUCCCUUACUCAAAUUAGUUUUUACCCCCUUAUUUCCUAAUUUGUCACACAAGUAAGUGCCCUUCCUUUUCGAAAUUCUAACCUUGCCCCUUAUCUAGAAGGUUCUAGGAUGACCUAGCUGAAUUCCCCAAUGUGUAUUCCCCAUUCUGCCCCUACCCUUUUCCCUGAAUUACCCCCAUGUCCUUAUAACCAAACUACUUUCUAGACUACGAAUUGAACAACAAUUAGCAAAUGAAAUCCUAAUUUAUUGCUACCGCCUGAUUAUCAAUGUAACAUGACUAACCAUCAAACCUAAGCAAGCACCAUUAACUUUACACUAAUCUAACUAACAAGUGGAAAAUCUGAUGCACACAGAAUGAUCACUGAUGAGACCACAAAACAACAGAAAUGACACUGAAAUAAAAAUCUAUCCUACCAAAGCAUCAAUUAAUCAGGACAAAGACUAGAAAUGAAAGUCAAAUAGAAAAGAAAUUAAAAAAGCAGACUCUAGCUAAAAUCUAAACAAACAAGCAGUUAAGUAAAGAACUGGAAGAGAAUUAUCGACAGGUGACACACAUUAAACUAGAGAUUAACAUUCGAGAGAAUAACAACAAAAAAUAAGAGAAAUAUUCCAAGAAAGAAAACUCACUUGAAUUGAAACGAUUUAAACAAGAAUCCGGUUAAGUGAAAUUCAGCUCCGGCCAUUUACGGUCACAUUUGAACUCUUUUGACACCGAAAUCCUCGUGAGGGCAGCCCAAGGAAUCCUAUAAUACUAAUUUGGUAAGGUUUGGAUUAUAUAGGAUUUUGGACGGAAAUAUUUAAAUCAGUAUUCGACCCAUGCCAUGAACAUUCGAGACAUGGGGUUAGGGGGGUUUGAUAUAGGAGGGUGUGAUGAUCCUACGAUAUAAUUUUGGUACGAUUUAGAGUAACUGGCGUCGUGGCCAGAAAAGUUUGAUCGAUUAUUCGAUGACCUGGGCUGAGAUUUGAAGGAAAUGGACCAGGGAAUCGAGAUGAGGGAGAAGAGGAGAAGUUGGGGUGUUAAUCUAGCGUCCGUUAGUGGUGGUGGCAUUCACCGCCGGUGGCGGCUCCGGCAAGGUGUAGAGAUAGUACGAGGAAGACGAGAGAUGAUCGUAUAGGGUUAGUGAUUUUAGGACAAUUAUAUUAAAUUACAAGAG
rnacentral:lncRNA from 1 species